AUGUUUUGGAAAGACAAAAAGCGAUACAGUAGUAGCAGUUCCCAAAGUAGUGAGAUUAAUAUCAAGAGCAAUUCUGUGGAUUCUAGCCUUGGGGGUCUUUCACGAUCCAGCACUGUGGCCAGCCUUGAUACAGAUUCUACCAAAAGCUCAGGACAAAGCAACAAUUCAGAUACCUGUGCAGAAUUUCGAAUAAAAUAUGUAGGUGUCAUUGAGAAGCUGAAACUGUCUAAGGGGAAAGGUCUGGAAGGGCCACUAGACCUGAUAAAUUUACAUAAACGUUGCCCAACAAGAAGUUGCCUUUUGUUCCUCUGGAAGAAGAAUUUAUUAUGGGAGUUUCCAAGUAUGGUAUAAAAGUAUGAACAUCGGAUCAGUCUGAUGUCUUGCACAGGCAUGCUCUAUAUUUAAUCAUCUGGAUGGUGUGUUAUGAUGAUGGUCUGGGGCAGGAAAAAGCUUAUUGGCUCUGAAGACCACAGAUGCAAGCAAUGAAGAAUACAGCCUGUGGGUUUAUCAGUGCAAUAGCCUGGAACAGGCACAAGCAAUUUGCAAAGUUUUAUCUACUGCUUUUGACUCUGUAUUAACAUCUGAGAAAUCUUGAAUUCUGCAAUCAAGUGGAAAUCAACUUCAUCUGAAAGCUCAGCUGGGUUUUGUUUUUUUUUUUAAGCUCAGCUGUUUUCAAUCCAUAAAGUUGAACUGUUAUGGAAAUAGGUGAGCCCCUGCUCUAGACUUUCUGAAGAAAACACAAUGUAUAAAACAUUGAACAUUUGUUUUUAUAAUAAAAUGUGUUUUAUGGGGCAGUACCUGUGGCUCAGUUGGUAAGGCGCCGGCCCCAUAUACCGAGGGUGACGGGUUCAAACCCGGCCCCGGCCAAACUGCA